rnacentral:tRNA from 1 species
GAGGAUGUAGCUCAGUCGGUAGAGCAACGGACUUUUAAUCCGUAGGUCCUGGGUUCGAGCCCCAGCAUCCUCA